rnacentral:rRNA from 1 species
GACGAACGCUGGCGGCGUGCUUAACACAUGCAAGUCGAACGGUAAGGCCCUUCGGGGUACACGAGUGGCGAACGGGUGAGUAACACGUGGGUGAUCUGCCCUGCACUUCGGGAUAAGCCUGGGAAACUGGGUCUAAUACCGGAUAGGACCCUGGGAUGCAUGUCCUGGGGUGGAAAGCUUUUGCGGUGUGGGAUGGGCCCGCGGCCUAUCAGCUUGUUGGUGGGGUGAUGGCCUACCAAGGCGACGACGGGUAGCCGGCCUGAGAGGGUGACCGGCCACACUGGGACUGAGAUACGGCCCAGACUCCUACGGGAGGGAGCAGUGGGGAAUAUUGCACAAUGGGCGCAAGCCUGUUGCAGCGACGCCGCGUGAGGGAUGACGGCCUUCGGGUUGUAAACCUCUUUCAGCACCGACGAAGCGCAAGUGACGGUAGGUGCAGAAGAAGGACCGGCCAACUACGUGCCAGCCGCCGCGGUAA